CAAUCUGCCCUGCAUUCUGGGACAAGCCUUGGAAACGAGGUCUAAUACCGGAUACGACGCAUCUUCGCAUGGAGUGUGCGUGGAAAGCUUUGGCGAUGCAGGAUGAGCCCGCGGCCUAUCAGCUUGUUGGUGGGGUAAUGGCCUACCAAGGCGACGACGGGUAGCCGGCCUGAGAGGGCGACCGGCCACACUGGGACUGAGACACGGCCCAG
rnacentral:rRNA from 1 species